CCCUUAGAUGUUCUGGGCCGCACGCGUGCUACACUGAGUGGAUCAGCGGGUCAGGUUACGCGAGAGCGUUUCCUAAUCUUCAAAUCCGCUCGUGAUGGGGAUUGACGGUUGCAAUUUUCCGUCAUGAACGAGGAAUACCUUGUAAGCGCGGGUCAUCAUCCCGCGCUGAAUACGUCCCUGCCCUUUGUACACACCGCCCGUCGCUCCUACCGAUUGAGUGGUCCGGUGAGACUUUGGGAUCUAAGCGAAAAGAGCGUUUCGCCCCUUUUGCUGGGAGAACUCAGUCGAACCUUAUCAUUUAGAGGAAGGAGAAGUCGUAACA
rnacentral:rRNA from 1 species